rnacentral:rRNA from 1 species
GACGAACGCUGGCGGCGUGCUUAACACAUGCAAGUCGAGCGGUAAGGCCCUUUCGGGGGUACGACGAGCGGCGAACGGGUGAGUAACACGUGGGUGACCUGCCCUCAGCUCUGGGAUAAGCCUGGGAAACCGGGUCUAAUACUGGAUAUGACUCCAUGACGCAUGUUGUGGGGUGGAAAGCCUUGUGCGGCUGAGGAUAGGCCCGCGGCCUAUCAGCUUUGUUGGUGGGGGUGA